rnacentral:lncRNA from 1 species
AAAGGCACCCCAAGAAAGAAGUGGUUAAGCAGAUCUCUGAAGAUUGCCCAAGCAGACCAGGAAGGGGUAGUUCUCAAGCCAAAGAAGUGAAAGAGCAGCAGUGUAACUGGAGGAGAGGGAGCAAGGUAAAAGGCAAGAACAGAUGAUUGCACCAGCAAAAAAUCCUUCUCCACUUCUGCUAGAGUAAGCAGAAAUUCUUCUACAAAAGGAACAAGAGGAAUGCCAAGCCUGGAGUGAGGGCUUUGGGGAUGUUUGUGCAGUUUGUCUUGGGAAAAGCGUGCACUCCAGAGAGAUGGGAUUGCAACAGUCCUGCUUUCCUUACAGGCCUAUUGAGCACUCAAGAAUAUUUCUGCUUGAGAGGUGCUGCAGAGCUCAGGCUGAACUGAGAGGAAGACAAGUGAAGCGCUCCAUGGCCGUUUGUGUUGUCUGGGGAAAGCUCUCCAGAGGCAGAAAAACAGCAAGUACGGAAAAAGGUGGAAACAUUCACGAUAUAUCGUCUGCUCUCUGGACACCAUCCAGUUCACCAAGGAAGCAUUAGAGAAGAUGUCAACAGAUCUUGUGGGCUGUAGUCUGCACACACCUAAAUAUUGUUUUUAACUUACUUUAGUAAGUCUAAGCACUCUAUGAAGCUAUUCAUGUUUGAUUUCAAACUUCUCAAGUUUGGGAAAAAGAAUGUUCUUAGAAACAAUCUCUUAAGAUACAUCUAAACAGCAAAAACUUCUGCACUUAACUUUUUGCACAAUGCAUACCUUAUUGUAGCUGCAUUCUUGAGUUCUUGUGUCUUGCUGCUAGAAAGGCUAAGUGCAAAAGGUAUACCUUAAAGAAGCAGAGAAAAAUAGAGUCUCAUAUAAUAUGUGAGACAGCUGUUUAGAAAUAUUUUCCACUAAAUUUUACCAGAUGAAUAUGCUUUCUAGUGCUGGGAGAAGUGCCUUCAGGGACAUGCUGGGUAUUGGUAUGUAUCUCUUAUUCAAAGGGAUUUGCCAAGAGAGGAAGGAAUUUAUCAUUUGAUGGAGUAUAAAAUAUUCAGGACUACUAAUUUAUAGUCAUAUCACAAUACUAAAUAAAUUUUAAAAGUAAGGGAUGUUUUUAGUAUUCCAAAUAUUUAGCAAUCGUCUUUAGGUUAAUCAAAUCAUUUUUGUAAUGACACUGGGAGACAGACCCACACCCAUUAUUUUUAUGCUAGCGAGUCAUUUGGCAAAGUCACUUAGUUCUUUUUUUUUUUUUUUGAGAGGCUCAAUAAUGUUUGUCAUGUGCUUAUGAAAUUGCAGAAUAGAUUCAAGUCAGGAUGAUGACACUGCAAAAGGGCUGAGUUAAAAUUAUAUUUACUUGGUAUGUGCAUAAUUUCCCAUCAACUAUCAGGGAUCCAGGCUUACCAAUAUGAUUUUGCAUAUUGUAUUAACACUAUUCAUUGUAAGAAAAUAUAUUUGCAUUAUGCAUUUAGACAUCAUGCACUUGGAAGAUCCAGAAAGUUAGUUUCAGGAUAUUUUUCUUUUGAUUAGAGACCUAUUUAACCUAAAGAGAAUUGUUUUUUUUUUUCCAUGAAAGGCAAAUAAGUAUUUACUUUAGCUAUACAUAUGUACACGACUUAUUAGAGUCUAAAGGCAAAUUAAAUAUAAAAUUAUUUUGCAAACCAAUAGGAUAUCUGAGAUUUCUCCACAUUAUUUUCUCUAAUUAGUUUUCAUUACUAACUACUUCUCAAUAAUAUUGAUAUUUACAUUUAUAAACCACAGAAUUUACCUAGCCAUAAUUAGUUGUUAGUCUCUAAUUACUUGCCUUGCCCCACGUUUAUGUUAUGUUUAUGUUUCUUUCUGGCAAUAGGUUUGAGACUUAAGAGUCAGUUGAUUCUAUCAAUUUCCUCUGGUAAGAACUUUGGAUCUAGCAAUAACCAUCACUUAAAUGUUAAUAAUUAAAAAUUAUUUUUUAAGAAGCACCAGUCCUGAUAGGAAAAUAUAAGAAAUUGAAAUGCAAAAGGAAAUGAUCAUUUUUCUUAGUUAAUAUGUUUUCAGCUCAUUUUCCAAUAUCACAAGAUAAUAUUUCCAAUUCUAAUCUAUUUUUGGCUAGAUGGUAAAAUUAUUUCUGCUCAUAUAAAUUCAUUCUGUAUUUUUAUGAUGUAGAUACUAAUCAGACUGGUGCAAAUGUCAGUUCAUUUACUCACUGAGAUAAACCUCAUUUGGGAAUAAUUGCUUUGGGAGCAUUUUGAGUAGAAAAAGAUUUAAAAGUGCCCUCCUAUGUCCCAGCAAAACUUUCAUUGUGCCACAUUCCACUAAUGUAAUAUGAAAACAUAUAAAUAAAUCAUGACCAGUGGAAAUUCUUUUUUCCCCCCAUGAUGACCUAACUUAUGUUAAAUAAAGCUUGGGGAAUAUUCAUUUUUAGUUUGUAAUAAUAAGAUUUCAUAUUAGGAAGAUUGCAUACAAAUGAGAGGCACUUUCUAGGUAGGAGGUUAAAAUGGAGUUUUAUAGCAAUGACUUUAAUAUACAUAAAUAGGUCCAGAAAUAUGUAAUUUUGAAAUCAUUUGACUGGAAGUUGUGAAGGAGCAACAGGAGAAAAAAUUAAAACCAAAACAACAAAAAAACUAGGGCAAAUGGUGUCCUCCAGCUUUCACUUGCAAAUCCCACUGAAACCAAUGGAAGUUUAUGAAAAUAUCUGAAAGACACAUUUGGCCUAGUUCAAAAGUUCCAUUAAAUUAGUAUUUUAAUACAGUGUCCUAGUUUGGUGCUGUUUUUAUGGUCCUUUUAACAUUAUUUCACUCAGCAUUAGAAAAGAGGCUAGGAUAACACAGGGUAUUUGUCCCCUCAAUUUCAAAGAUACCAUGAAUCCUAACCCCCCAUCUCCCACCCCAUGCUGAGUAAAGAUCUUGUGUAAAGAAAUUCGUGGAUCCAAGGUAAGCUUUGUUUUUCAUGCUCAUCAAGUGGGAAGUAUAAACAGAUGUUAAAUGCAGAAUUCUGAUAUUUAGACUGGGAGGAUUUAGUCCCUGAAAUUGGAUUAGGUGGAAAAUAUUUGAUGCUCUAAGAAUUGUUUAGGAUACAAAUACUAUUGUAGAUGUUUCUUUAUGGUUCAAGGAGAAACUAAGUAGUCUUUUUCCUCCCAUGAUUUGUAUUUACAAAGUAUCAAGGAACAGUUUCUGUGACCUUACUUACUUUGUUCAAUCUUUAGCUCAUCCCUGAAAAAUGAGCACGAUAAUAGAAUUUUGCGAUUAUUUGAGUUAAACUGUCAUAUGGAGUGAGAGCACUGUUUUUUUUUUCUUUCUUCAGUUUAACUCUUACUAUUAUUUUAUAUUAAGAAGCACCACACAGCCCACCACUUAUUAGCCAAGCUCCCCCAUCCUCCCAUUCUUCCCCAUUGAAAUCAUGUUAUAGCUCCUGGGCCCUCUGGAGACACUUCUAGAGGGUGUUUGGAAACAGGGUCCCGAAUUCGGGGAAGGUCUCUGAACGUUAUUAAAAAUGUAUCAAAUUACUAAACGUUUCUUGCCUAUUACUGCUCUUGAUGUUUA